GACGAACGCUGGCGGCGUGCCUAAUACAUGCAAGUCGAACGAGAGCGCCCGGUGCUUGCACUGGUCAAUCUAGUGGCGAACGGGUGAGUAACACGUGGGUAACCUGCCCAUCAGAGGGGGAUAACAUCCGGAAACGGAUGCUAAAACCGCAUAGGUCUUCGAGCCGCAUGGCUUGAAGAGGAAAAGAGGCGCACGCUUCUGCUGAUGGAUGGACCCGCGGUGCAUUAGCUAGUUGGUGAGGUAACGGCUCACCAAGGCCGUGAUGCAUAGCCGACCUGAGAGGGUGAUCGGCCACAUUGGGACUGAGACACGGCCCAAACUCCUACGGGAGGCAGCAGUAGGGAAUCUUCCGCAAUGGACGCAAGUCUGACGGAGCAACGCCGCGUGAGUGAAGAAGGUUUUCGGAUCGUAAAACUCUGUUGUUAGAGAAGAACAAGUGCUAGAGUAACUGUUAGCGCCUUGACGGUAGCUAACCAGAAAGCCACGGCUAACUACGUG
rnacentral:rRNA from 1 species